GUCGGGGGGAGGGAAGGAGAGCGCGGGGGGAGGGGUGGAACGUUGCAAGCGGACGGAGCCUUGGGGAGCCGCCGGGCCGAACGUGGCGGCCGGCAGGGAGGUUGGGGACCCCCCCUCUCCCCAGCAGAUGGAGCGUUGCAGCGAUCUCGAGGGAGGGGGCGGAAGGGAGGUUGGGGACCCCCCCGCUCCCCAGCAGAUGGAACGUUGCAGCGAUCUCGAGGGAGGGGGCGGCAGGGAGGUUGGGGACCCCCCCGCUCCCCAGCAGAUGGAGCGUUGCAGCGAUCUCGAGGGAGGGGGCGGAAGGGAGGUUGGGGACCCCCCCGCUCCCCAGCAGAUGGAGCGUUGCAGCGAUCUCGAGGGAGGGGACAGAACGUUGCGACGGGCGAGCUGGAAGGUGGCCAGCGCAGCUCGAGAUCGGGAGCGGAUGGGGCGCUGCUGGGGAGCCCCGGAUCGGACGUUGCCGCCGGCCGGGGUGGAUGGGGGGGCGGUGGAUGAAAGCUAAACUUCAGCAUGAAUUAAUCCAUCCUACUUCUCCAAAGCCUCCUGGAUCAAGCUGUCUUCACUUCCUGUCCUAAAUGGCUGUGUCUCUUCGGAUCCCUUUGGAAACAAAGAAGAUGAUCUAACAACUUAGGUGGCUGCAAACCCCCAGCAUAACAAGAACCAGUGGCUGAACGUUAAAAGCCAGACAAAUUCCAGCUGGAAACAAGGCACCGAUUUUUCUCUGUGAGGGUGAUUAACCAUUGAGACAAAACUGCCCAAGGAAGUGCUGGUUACUCCUCUCCUUGGCUUCCAAUCAAGCCUGGAUGCCUUGCGAGAUGUUAUUGGACGCAGUGCAGGGGGACCUCACUGGUCUGGGUUACAAGGUGGUUAGACUAAAUGAUGGAAUGGUCCCUUCUGCGGUUGGAUUGUCUGAAGCUGAAUUUUGAACGUGCAGGUGAUUUACAAUUUUUGUGGCUGCAUCAUCAAAACAUUUUCUUAAUUUAUCCUGCCUCCUGUGAGGUGGGGAAAUACUAGCCCACUUUUAUAGGUGGGGAAACUGAGGCAAAAAGAUGCUGUGUUUUGCCAGGCUCACACAGGGAGUCGUAGAGCCAGGAAUUGAUCCCCACUUCUGCCACCAGGCCAGCUUUCCCCAGUGACCCCUUGUGGUUGCUCUCAGCUGAGAGGCCAAUGAUUGAAGAGGUUGAGACUGAUGAUCUGUCUCAUCCCAGGUCAGGCAGGCAAUUACAGGGGAAGAUUGCCUUGUGACUGGGACUUAGGUGUUCUGGGUUUGAGUCACCUCAUUUGUGCCUUAGUUUCCCCCUCUCUAAAUUGAGAAUAAUUUUGCCUUUGUCUAGACAGAUUGUAAGCUCUUUGGAGAGGGCCUCUCACUGUGUGUCUGGGCAGCGCCUGGCACAACAGGGCCCUGAUUUCAGCCAGGGCAGGGCCUGUCUCUCGCUGUGUCUGGGCAGCGCCUGGCACAAGAGGGUCCUGACUUCAGCUGGGGUUUCCAGCAAUAUAUAAGCAGUAACAGUUUUGCCCUGUGCUGGCCCCGUGUUAAAGAUUCUGUCCUGGGCUCUUAAGCCCAGUACUUCUGAUCAACUAGUAUGUUUCCCUGUUUGCAAUAUGCGAUAUUAAUACUUUCCAACAGCCACUGCAUUUGCUCAUUUAAAAGAAAACAGAAGAAAUCAAAUAUCUCUGUGGAGCAAUUGUUUCCUGUUCGCCAGGGUGAUAAACGUGGCUAUUUAUACCUGA